CCUACGGGGGGCAGCAGUGAGGAAUAUUGGUCAAUGGCCGGAAGGCUGAACCAGCCAUGCCGCGUGAAGGUCAGUGCCCUAUGGGCGUUAAACUUCUUUUGUGCGGGAGCAAUAAUGGUCACGUGUGGCCAGACGAGAGUACCGUACGAAUAAGCAUCGGCUAACUCCGUGCCAGCAGCCGCGGUAAUACGGGGGAUGCAAGCGUUAGCCGGAUUUAUUGGGUUUAAAGGGUGCGUAGGCUGUGAGGUAAGUCAGCGGGGAAAUGCCCCGGCGCAACGGGGUGAAGUGCCAUUGAUACUGGCUUGCUGGAAUGCGGAUGCCGUGGGCGGAAUGUGUGGUGUAGCGGUGAAAUGCAUAGAUAUCACACAGAACACCGAUUGCGAAGGCAUCUCACGAAUCCGCGAUUGACGCUGAUGCACGAAAGCGUGGGUAUCAAACAGGAUUAGAUACCCUUGUAGUC
rnacentral:rRNA from 1 species